GGCUUUCACUGCUCUUCAGAUUCCCGAUCCGGCCUUCAGACCAAAGAGCUGCCAUGGCUUCCUGUCUGUUACUCUUUGGGCGUCUUCAAGUAAGUUUGCAGACUCCAAGCUUACUCUCUCUCAGUGCGAUGUUUUAUCACUGGGAGAAAGCUUGGCCUGAGAAGAGGGACGGGAGUGUCGGGAACCUGGCGCCUCUCUGUGUGGGCUGCACACAACUGAGGUGCGCUGCUGGGAGCUUCGACCUUUCUGCAGAGGGCUUCCUCCAACCGUGAAGAGGAGCAAGGGCAGCCUUGAGAUUGUCUAAAAGGGCGGAAGCUUCUUUAUAUUUCUGUGGAGGAAGACACAGCAGCCUUGCUAUGCUCUGUAAACUAGUUCUUAUUUCUGAUUUAAUUCUGAAAUAAAUCAUAAGGUACAUAAGGAUUCAAAUAUCAUACAGGAAGAAGCUUUAGAGGUCAUUGAAUCCAGCCCUUCAUCUUACAGAUAGGGCAGCAAAGGCACUGAGAACGAAGAGACAUGGACCAAAUCACCUGUGUGUAAGUAAUUUUAUCAGCACUCAGCCAUAUUGUCAGAUUACAAAAUCAGUGCUUGCCAAUAUGCUUGCUUACUGGUACCUGGAGAAAGGGUUCAGAUUUUGUUGUGUGUGUUACCUGGAUAAUUAUACAGAAUGAAGAUCCAAACCCUUACCUGGGCAAUAAUUGUUCAAUACUGUAUACUGCUCGAGUGUCUGACAUUUAGAAAGUAUUUCAGGUGUCCCUGAAGCAAGCAGACUAAGAUUUGACCCCAUGUAAUGGAGAAGAAUUAGGAGCUAGGAUCUGGUGUAUAAACUUUAGAAAAUACGGUGAUAAAACCUGAUAAAUAAAGGCACAAGAAUAGGAGUUGACUUGCAUGUUAAUGAUAAAACUUGCAUAAAUGUCCUGUCCUUUGCAUCUGUAAGAAUCUCAUCACUGUAUUUUAUUACUUAAAGUGAAACAUGUUGUCUCAAUC